rnacentral:lncRNA from 1 species
GGGAUUGACCGACGGAUGUAGGUAAGGUGUUGUCUGAACCGAUCUUUGAUCUUCUUGUCCGUUCUUCACCACCAAGAAAAAACUAUGGUUUUCUUUUCUCCUUGCCGUCAACUCCUUUUUUCUCUUAGUGAACAUUAGCGACUCCUCUAAGGAAUUAGGGUUUUUCGGCUCUUUUUAUAAUCCCACUGCUAGGGUUUGGAAUUGGUCACUGGGAUCAAAAGAGUAUUGGAAUUGGAAGUGUUUUCUUGUGCUGCUCUGUUGUCUACCCCAUUUUGGUGCUUGCAUUGUAAAAGGUAGCUUGUACCUUGUACCUUCUCCUUGGAAAUAUUUUGAUUCCCUUUUGUUGCUUGUGAAUUUUUACCGCCGGUAAAAAGCUAUUCACGGCUGCUAGUUCACUUGAAUAUGAUGUAUUGUUUGAUGCUUGCAGGGAGGAGGUGUGAAUUGAGGUGCUGAUGACGAUAAGUCGUGCUGACCAGAUGGAAAUGAAAGGUAUUGAGCACUCCUAGGACAAUCUUCAGAUGAAUUUUGCUGGAACUGAUUUUGGUCUUCUCAGGUAACUUAGAGUUCAGACCAACUGGUAAUGUUUCCAUGAUGGAAAAAGAAUUUGAGAAUAUGUAGGUUUGAGAGUCAAC